UAAGCGACUAAGCGUACACGGUGGAUGCCCUGGCAGUCAGAGGCGAUGAAGGACGUGCUAAUCUGCGAUAAGCGUCGGUAAGGUGAUAUGAACCGUUAUAACCGGCGAUUUCCGAAUGGGGAAACCCAGUGUGAUUCGUCACACUAUCAUUACGUGAAUACAUAGCGUAAUGAAGCGAACCGGGGGAACUGAAACAUCUAAGUACCCCGAGGAAAAGAAAUCAACCGAGAUUCCCCCAGUAGCGGCGAGCGAACGGGGAGCAGCCCAGAGUCUGAAUCAGCUUGUGUGUUAGUGGAACGGUCUGGAAAGUCCGACGGUACAGGGUGAUAGUCCCGUACACCAAAAUGCACAGGCUGUGAACUCGAAGAGUAGGGCGGGACACGUGGUAUCCUGUCUGAAUAUGGGGGGACCAUCCUCCAAGGCUAAAUACUCCUGACUGACCGAUAGUGAACCAGUACCGUGAGGGAAAGGCGAAAAGAACCCCGGCGAGGGGAGUGAAAAAGACCUAGAACCGUGUACGUACAAGCAGUGGGAGCCUCUUUAUGGGGUGACUGCGUACCUUUUGUAUAAUGGGUCAGCGACUUAUAUUCUGUAGCAAGGUUAACCGAAUAGGGGAGCCGAAGGGAAACCGAGUCUUAACUGGGCGUUAAGUUGCAGGGUAUAGACCCGAAACCCGGUGAUCUAGCCAUGGGCAGGUUGAAGGUUGGGUAACACUAACUGGAGGACCGAACCGACUAAUGUUGAAAAAUUAGCGGAUGACUUGUGGCUGGGGGUGAAAGGCCAAUCAAACCGGGAGAUAGCUGGUUCUCCCCGAAAGCUAUUUAGGUAGCGCCUCGUGAACUCAUCUUCGGGGGUAGAGCACUGUUUCGGCUAGGGGGUCAUCCCGACUUACCAACCCGAUGCAAACUGCGAAUACCGAAGAAUGUUAUCACGGGAGACACACGGCGGGUGCUAACGUCCGUCGUGAAGAGGGAAACAACCCAGACCGCCAGCUAAGGUCCCAAAGUCACAGUUAAGUGGGAAACGAUGUGGGAAGGCACAGACAGCCAGGAUGUUGGCUUAGAAGCAGCCAUCAUUUAAAGAAAGCGUAAUAGCUCACUGGUCGAGUCGGCCUGCGCGGAAGAUGUAACGGGGCUAAACUGUGCACCGAAGCUGCGGCAGCGACACUAUGUGUUGUUGGGUAGGGGAGCGUUCUGUAAGCCGUUGAAGGUGGCCUGUGAGGGUUGCUGGAGGUAUCAGAAGUGCGAAUGCUGACAUAAGUAACGAUAAUGCGGGUGAAAAACCCGCACGCCGGAAGACCAAGGGUUCCUGUCCAACGUUAAUCGGGGCAGGGUGAGUCGACCCCUAAGGCGAGGCCGGAAGGCGUAGUCGAUGGGAAACAGGUUAAUAUUCCUGUACUUGGUGUUACUGCGAAGGGGGGACGGAGAAGGCUAUGUUAGCCGGGCGACGGUUGUCCCGGUUCAAGCAUGUAGGCGGAGGUUCCAGGUAAAUCCGGUACCUUUUUAACGCUGAGGUGUGAUGACGAGGCACUACGGUGCUGAAGUAACAAAUGCCCUGCUUCCAGGAAAAGCCUCUAAGCAUCAGGUAACACGAAAUCGUACCCCAAACCGACACAGGUGGUCAGGUAGAGAAUACCAAGGCGCUUGAGAGAACUCGGGUGAAGGAACUAGGCAAAAUGGUGCCGUAACUUCGGGAGAAGGCACGCUGAUAUGUAGGUGAAGUGAUUUACUCAUGGAGCUGAAAUCAGUCGAAGAUACCAGCUGGCUGCAACUGUUUAUUAAAACACAGCACUGUGCAAACACGAAAGUGGACGUAUACGGUGUGACGCCUGCCCGGUGCCGGAAGGUUAAUUGAUGGGGUUAUCCGUAAGGAGAAGCUCUUGAUCGAAGCCCCGGUAAACGGCGGCCGUAACUAUAACGGUCCUAAGGUAGCGAAAUUCCUUGUCGGGUAAGUUCCGACCUGCACGAAUGGCGUAAUGAUGGCCAGGCUGUCUCCACCCGAGACUCAGUGAAAUUGAACUCGCUGUGAAGAUGCAGUGUACCCGCGGCAAGACGGAAAGACCCCGUGAACCUUUACUAUAGCUUGACACUGAACACUGGUCCUUGAUGUGUAGGAUAGGUGGGAGGCUUUGAAGUGUGGACGCCAGUCUGCAUGGAGCCAACCUUGAAAUACCACCCUUUAAUGGCUGGUGUUCUAACGUGGACCCGUAAUCCGGGUUGCGGACAGUGUCUGGUGGGUAGUUUGACUGGGGCGGUCUCCUCCUAAAGAGUAACGGAGGAGCACGAAGGUUAGCUAAUCCUGGUCGGACAUCAGGAGGUUAGUGCAAAGGCAUAAGCUAGCUUGACUGCGAGAGUGACGGCUCGAGCAGGUGCGAAAGCAGGUCUUAGUGAUCCGGUGGUUCUGAAUGGAAGGGCCAUCGCUCAACGGAUAAAAGGUACUCCGGGGAUAACAGGCUGAUACCGCCCAAGAGUUCAUAUCGACGGCGGUGUUUGGCACCUCGAUGUCGGCUCAUCACAUCCUGGGGCUGAAGUAGGUCCCAAGGGUAUGGCUGUUCGCCAUUUAAAGUGGUACGCGAGCUGGGUUUAGAACGUCGUGAGACAGUUCGGUCCCUAUCUGCCGUGGGCGCUGGAGAAUUGAGGGGGGCUGCUCCUAGUACGAGAGGACCGGAGUGGACGCAUCACUGGUGUUCGGGUUGUCAUGCCAAUGGCAUUGCCCGGUAGCUAAAUGCGGAAGAGAUAAGUGCUGAAAGCAUCUAAGCACGAAACUUGCCCCGAGAUGAGUUCUCCCUGAGACUUUAAGUCUCCUGAAGGAACGUUGAAGACGACGACGUUGAUAGGUCGGGUGUGUAAGUGUAGCGAUACAUUGAGCUAACCGAUACUAAUGAACCGUGAGGCUUAACCU
rnacentral:rRNA from 1 species